AACGAACGCUGGCGGCAGGCUUAACACAUGCAAGUCGAGCGCUGUAGCAAUACAGAGCGGCGCACGGGUGAGUAACACGUGGGAACAUGCCUUUCGGUUCGGAAUAACUCAGGGAAACUUGUGCUAAUACCGGAUACGCCUUACGGGAAAGAUUAUUGCCGAAAGAGAGCCCGCGUUGGAUUAGCUAGUUGGCGGGGUAAAAGCCCACCAAGGCGACGAUCCAUAGCUGGUC
rnacentral:rRNA from 1 species